UCCUAACUUUCCUUGUCUCCAUCGCGAUGGUUUUGGGCCGCGAUGUGCACCCAAUUAUGGACAGCAAACUUGUCCCAAUGACGGGUAAAGAACCAAUAAUGAAAAGCCAGAAAGAUCCAAUUAUAGACACUAAAGUACACCCAAUAGAACGCGAGUUAGAUCUCAACAGCAUCAGUUUAAAAUUAAAAUCCAAAGGACAGUGUGUUGCCAAAUCAUUUAUAGAUGAAUUGAAAUGCCUUCUGACUUUUGACAUGAAAAAUUCUGGAGAGUCGAAAAUGUCAAAGCUGAAAGGAGAAUUUGUUAAAUGUGUCACUGGCUUUAUUUUACAGUUUAUGGGUUGCUUCGUCUCGUAGAAUUUACUGUCAGAUUUAAAUCGACUGUAAUUCAAAGAAGCUAUUCUGUGUAAUGUGAAAACGGUUAUAAUUAUUUUUUAUUUAACAUUACAUGUAUCUAUUUUCA